CUUGGUUAGCUUGAGAUUCAGAUUUACAACCAUAUCAUUCCGUGGUGCCAAACCCCCGUACACGUACGAAGGACCUAACACGUACGGCCAUGGCCCUCCUCAGCCUCAGCCGCCACGCUGGCGCCCUCCCACUACAUCGACAGGGUCCUUCUUCUUCCAGCCAGCUUCUUGCACGACCACACGCGAUCUCGACCUCCUCCGAGGCCAUGGCCAUGCACCGCCUCAGCCACCACAGAGGCAUCCUCCCACUACGUCGGCAGGGUCCUUCUCCCCGCCAACUUCUUGCACGAUCGCGCACGAUCUUGGCCCCCUCCCAGCCCACGGAGGAAGACAAGAAGACGGAGGAAGACGAGAAGCCCACGGAGGAAGACACGAAGACGGAGGAAGACGAGAAGGAGAGCAGCCCCCCGCCGGUGUCGUGGGUGCAGAGGUCACUUGAGGCGGCACGCCCGUACGCGAUGCUCGCUCGUCUCGACAAGCCCAUCGGGUCCUGGCUCCUCGCUUGGCCAUGCAUGUGGUCACUAACAAUGGCGGCAAUGCCAGGGGCGCUUCCUGACUUGAAAAUGCUCGCACUCUUCGGAUGUUUAACUAUCCCCAUGAGGGGAGCCGCUUGCACGGUCAAUGAUCUUUUCGACCGCAACAUUGAUAACAAGGUUGAGCGCACCAAAAGCAGGCCGCUUGCAUCAGGCGCUCUAACUCCUACUCAAGGAUUGUGCUUCUUCGGAGUUCAACUACUACUAGGACUGGGAGUGGGUUUUCUUCUCCAACUGAACAACUUAAGCCGUGUUCUUGGGCUCAUUUGGUUUCCAUUGGCCUAUUCAUAUCCCCUAAUGAAGAGGCUCACAUUUUGGCCUCAGGCAUAUCUCGGAUUAUCGUUCAACUAUGGAGCUUUAUUAGGAUGGGCUGCUAUCAAAGGUACUUUAGAGCCCACCAUCGUCCUUCCAAUGUAUAUUGCUGGGAUAUGUUGGACAUUGGCGUAUGAUACCAUAUAUGCACACCAGGACAUAAAAGAUGACCUCAAAGUAGGAGUUAAGUCCACAGCCAUAAGGUUUGGAGAUUCAACCAAGCACUGGAUUAGUGCCUUUGGUACUGCAACGAUUGGCGGUUUAGCACUUAGUGGCUAUAAUGCUGGACUUGCUUGGCCAUACUACCCAAUUCUUGCAGCUGCAGCUGCACAGCUGGCAUGGCAGAUUUCAACUGUUGACUUAACUGAUCGCGCAGAUUGCAACAGGAAAUUUGUCUCAAAUAACUGGUUUGGAGCAUUGGUAUUCAUCGCCAUAUUUUUCGGUCGACUUGCAUCAUGAUCGAUACAUCAGGCGUGAUGUGACACUGUGACUUCCUGUUAUCACCAGAAUUUGACCGAGUCAGAGGUGGGCCGCGAUCAAGAUGGGCUUGAAGAAUAUACAUGGAAGAAUAUACAUGAAUCGGCCUUAUAUGCAAAGUUUGGGCUAGUUUGCCCGUGUAUCUGUAAUAUAGUAGGAUACGUGUUGGUUAGUUAGAGUUUGGCUCGUGCACGGUUGGGAUUAUUCCCACGUUAGAAAGUCUACGGACUAUAAAUAUGUAUCUAGGGUUUAUGAAAUAAACAACAAUCACGUUCACCACAAA